AGUGAACGCUGGCGGUAGGUCUAACACAUGCAAGUCGAACGGCAGCACAGUAAGAGCUUGCUCUUACGGGUGGCGAGUGGCGGACGGGUGAGGAAUACAUCGGAAUCUACUUUUUCGUGGGGGAUAACGUAGGGAAACUUACGCUAAUACCGCAUACGACCUACGGGUGAAAGCAGGGGAUCUUCGGACCUUGCGCGAUUGAAUGAGCCGAUGUCGGAUUAGCUGGUUGGCGGGGUAAAGGCCCACCAAGGCGACGAUCCGUAGCUGGUCUGAGAGGAUGAUCAGCCACACUGGAACUGAGACACGGUCCAGACUCCUACGGGAGGCAGCAGUGGGGAAUAUUGGACAAUGGGCGCAAGCCUGAUCCAGCCAUACCGCGUGGGUGAAGAAGGCCUUCGGGUUGUAAAGCCCUUUUGUUGGGAAAGAAAAGCAGCAGGUUAAUACCCCGCUGUUCUGACGGUACCCAAAGAAUAAGCACCGGCUAACUUCGUG
rnacentral:rRNA from 1 species